AUACGUAGGUGGCAAGCGUUGUCCGGAAUUAUUGGGCGUAAAGCGCGCGCAGGUGGUUCCUUAAGUCUGAUGUGAAAGCCCCCGGCUCAACCGGGGAGGGUCAUUGGAAACUGGGGAACUUGAGUGCAGAAGAGGAUAGUGGAAUUCCAAGUGUAGCGGUGAAAUGCGUAGAGAUUUGGAGGAACACCAGUGGCGAAGGCGACUGUCUGGUCUGUAACUGACACUGAGGCGCGAAAGCGUGGGGAGCAAACAGGAUUAGAUACCCUGGUAGUCCACGCCGUAAACGAUGAGUGCUAAGUGUUGGGGGGUUUCCGCCCCUCAGUGCUGCAGCUAACGCAUUAAGCACACCGCCUGGGGAGUACGGUCGCAAGACUGAAACUCAAAGGAAUUGACGGG
rnacentral:rRNA from 1 species